GUCCCGCUGAGCCAGUGAACCAAGCCACAUCCUCGCUGUUGCAUCCAGCCCUGUAUCUGAGAAAGAGUGAGCAUAUUGCAUCCAUACUAACACACUCUGUUUAACAGUCUAUGCUGAGCCAGUGAACCAAGCCACAUCCUCGCUGUUGCAUCCAGCCCUGUAUCUGAGAAAGAGUGAGCAUAUUGCAUCCAUACUAAUCUGCUUGUUUACCAGUCUAUGCUGAACAAGUGAACCGAGUCACAUCCUCGCUGUUGCAUCCAGCCCUGCAUCUGAGAAGGAGUGAGCAUAUUGAAUCCAUACUAACACACUCUGUUUAACAGUCUAUGCUGAGCCAGUGAACCAAGCCACAUCCUCGCUGCUGCAUCCAGCCCUGUAUCUGAGAAGGAGUGAGCAUAUUGCAUCCACACAAAUCUGCUUGCUUACCAGUCUAUGCUGAACCAGUGAACCGAGCCACAUCCUCGCUGUUGCAUCCAGCCCUGUAUCUGAGAAGGAGUGAGCAUAUUGCAUCCAUACUAAUCUGCUUGUUUAACGGUCUAUGCUGAAGUCCCGCUGAGCCAGUGAACCGAGCCACAUCCUCGCUGCUGCAUCCAGCCCUGUAUCUGAGAAGGAGUGAGCAUAUUGCAUCCAUCCUAAUCUGCUUGUUUAACAGUCUAUUCUGAAGUCCCGCUGAGCCAGUGAACCGAGCCACAUCCUCGCUGCUGCAUCCAGCCCUGCAUCUGAGAAGGAGUGAGCAUAUUGAAUCCAUACUAACACACUCUGUUUAACAGUCUAUGCUGAGCCAGUGAACCAAGCCACAUCCUCGCUGUUGCAUCCAGCCCUGUAUCUGAGAAGGAGUGAGCAUAUGGCAUCCAUACUAAUCUGCUUGUUUAACAGUCUAUGCUGAAGUCCCGCUGAGCCAGUGAACCGGGCCACAUCCUCGCUGCUGCAUCCAGCCCUGUAUCUGAGAAGGAGUGAGCAUAUUGCAUCCACACAAAUCUGCUUGCUUACCAGUCUAUGCUGAAGUCCCGCUGAGCCAGUGAACCGAGCCACAUACUCGCUGCUGCAUCCAGCCCUGUAUCUGAGAAAGAGUGAGCAUAUUGCAUCCAUCCUAAUCUGCUUGUUUAACAGUCUAUGCUGAAGUCCCGCUGAGCCAGUGAACCGAGCCACAUCCUCGCUGCUGCAUCCAGCCCUGUAUCUGAGAAGGAGUGAGCAUAUUGCAUCCACACAAAUCUGCUUGCUUACCAGUCUAUUCUGAAGUCCCGCUGAGCCAGUGAACCGAGCCACAUCCUCGCUGCUGC